rnacentral:rRNA from 1 species
UACGUAGGUGGCAAGCGCUGUUCGGAUUCAUUGGGCGUAAAGGGUGCGUAGGCGGCGCGGUAAGUCGGGUGUGAAAUUUCGAGGCUUAACUUCGAAACUGCAUUCGAUACUGCCGUGCUUGAGGACUGGAGAGGAGACUGGAAUUUACGGUGUAGCGGUGAAAUGCGUAGAUAUCGUAAGGAAGACCAGUGGCGAAGGCGGGUCUCUGGACAGUUCCUGACGCUGAGGCACGAAGGCCAGGGGAGCAAACGGG